rnacentral:rRNA from 1 species
AGAGUUUGAUCCUGGCUCAGGAUGAACGCUAGCUACAGGCUUAACACAUGCAAGUCGAGGGGAAACGACAUCGAAAGCUUGCUUUUGAUGGGCGUCGACCGGCGCACGGGUGAGUAACGCGUAUCCAACCUGCCCAUCACUUGGGAAUAACCUUGCGAAAGUAAGACUAAUGCCCAAUGAUAUCCCACGAAGGCAUCCGAAUGGGAUUAAAGAUUUAUCGGUGAUGGAUGGGGAUGCGUCUGAUUAGCUUGUUGGCGGGGUAACGGCCCACCAAGGCAACGAUCAGUAGGGGUUCUGAGAGGAAGGUCCCCCACAUUGGAACUGAGACACGGUCCAAACUCCUACGGGAGGCAGCAGUGAGGAAUAUUGGUCAAUGGGCGAGAGCCUGAACCAGCCAAGUAGCGUGCAGGACGACGGCCCUAUGGGUUGUAAACUGCUUUUAUAAGGGAAUAAAGUGGGUCACGUGUGACUUUUUGCAUGUACCUUAUGAAUAAGGACCGGCUAAUUCCGUGCCAGCAGCCGCGGUAAUACGGAAGGUCCGGGCGUUAUCCGGAUUUAUUGGGUUUAAAGGGAGCGUAGGCCGGAGAUUAAGCGUGUUGUGAAAUGUAGAGGCUCAACCUCUGCACUGCAGCGCGAACUGGUCUUCUUGAGUACGCACAACGUGGGCGGAAUUCGUGGUGUAGCGGUGAAAUGCUUAGAUAUCACGAAGAACUCCGAUUGCGAAGGCAGCUCACGGGAGCGCAACUGACGCUGAAGCUCGAAAGUGCGGGUAUCGAACAGGAUUAGAUACCCUGGUAGUCCGCACGGUAAACGAUGGAUGCCCGCUGUUGGCCUGAAUAGGUCAGCGGCCAAGCGAAAGCAUUAAGCAUCCCACCUGGGGAGUACGCCGGCAACGGUGAAACUCAAAGGAAUUGACGGGGGCCCGCACAAGCGGAGGAACAUGUGGUUUAAUUCGAUGAUACGCGAGGAACCUUACCCGGGCUUGAAUUGCAGAGGAAGGAUUUGGAGACAAUGACGCCCUUCGGGGUCUCUGUGAAGGUGCUGCAUGGUUGUCGUCAGCUCGUGCCGUGAGGUGUCGGCUUAAGUGCCAUAACGAGCGCAACCCCUCUCCUUAGUUGCCAUCAGGU